CUUUUUUUUGUUUUGUUUUGUUUUUUUUUUUUUUAAGGUUGCGGAAGCAGCUUUUCAACACCCACCCCCCGCGCCCCCCCCUCGCUUUGCACCAUCCCCAUCACAACAGGGGGGGUUGAAAGGGGGAGUUUGGGGGGGUCCCCCCCCCUGCGCGAUGUGUUUGUGCGUUAAGAGAUCCCGACCCCGCUGCCCGGGGGGGGGGGGGGGGUGCUGGGCCGGGGGGGGGGGGGGGGUGCAGCCGGCAGCGGGGGGGGGCCGCUGUGUAAUGCCCAGUGGCUUCUCUGAGCCCCCCCAAACCCCCCCCAAAAAUAGCUCCAAAACGUCAGAGACUGGGUUGCAAAAUGCCGCGGCCCCCCCCGUGCCCCCGCGCCCCAAAUCUCAGCCCAGCAGAGCACAAAGACCCCCCCCUUCUAGUAUAUACAAUAUAAGGUAUAAAUAGAUAAAUAACCUUCCCCCCCCCCGUCCCCACCCUGCGCCGACAGCGACUGCGGCCGCCCCCCGCUAUGGGGGCUGAUGCGAGUAGGGGGGGCCCCCCCAUUGCUGGGGGAGCAGGGCCGGCACCCCCCUCUCCCCCUCUCGCACCUCGGCACGGCGCAGAGCUGGGGACAAGGAGCGGGGUGUCCCCCCGCUUUCCCCAUGGAGCCCGGCGAGGGGGGCUCCUGCUGCCACAUCCGAAGAGAGGAGAGGGGGGGGACACAUCCCCAUGGAGAAGGGAACCCCCCCCCAUGGUGGGGGGGUCCCGAUGGGGGGGGUGGGGGAAGUUUGGGGGGGGUGGGGUGUGUGUCUCACAUUUCAAAAUCACAACAGAAAAGGUAAAAGAAUCAUAAUCUAAGACGUCAAAUGAGGUAGGUUUGGGUGCAGAAGCUCCUGUGUCUGCCGGGGGGGCCCUCGCCGCGGGUCUCGUCCACACGCACAAACAAGAAGAGAUUCGAAAGGAACCGAGCGAGCUCUGGCCGCGGGCGGCGCAGAGCCCGGAUUGUCGAGCUCAAGGAGUCUGUUACUUGGUACUUUUAGCGAGCAAAAAAUGUUAUUAGAUUCUAAAAAAAAAAAAAAAAAAAAAAAAAAAAAAAAGAAAAUAAAAUUAAAAAGGGGAAAAAAAAAACAAAACCACCAAAAAAAAAAAAAAAACAACCCUAAAACUUGGGAGAGAGGGAAAAAAAAAAAACAACCAAAGCCGGCUCCGGCUCCGGCGCCGCGGAUGCGCUGCGGCUGCUGCUGCUGCUGCCGCCCCGCGUGGAGGCGGUGAUGGAGAUGGGGGGGGUCUCUCUCUCUUUCUCUCUCUCUUUCGCCGGGGUCCCCCCCC
ensembl:lncRNA